rnacentral:rRNA from 1 species
CCUACGGGAGGCAGCAGUGGGGAAUUUUGGACAAUGGGCGCAAGCCUGAUCCAGCCAUGCCGCGUGCGGGAAGAAGGCCUUCGGGUUGUAAACCGCUUUUGUCAGGGAAGAAAUCUUCUGAGUUAAUACCUCGGGAGGAUGACGGUACCUGAAGAAUAAGCACCGGCUAACUACGUGCCAGCAGCCGCGGUAAUACGUAGGGUGCGAGCGUUAAUCGGAAUUACUGGGCGUAAAGCGUGCGCAGGCGGUCUUGCAAGACAGGUGUGAAAUCCCCGGGCUUAACCUGGGAACUGCACUUGUGACUGCAAGGCUGGAGUACGGCAGAGGGGGAUGGAAUUCCGCGUGUAGCAGUGAAAUGCGUAGAUAUGCGGAGGAACACCGAUGGCGAAGGCAAUCCCCUGGGCCUGUACUGACGCUCAUGCACGAAAGCGUGGGGAGCAAACAGGAUUAGAUACCCUGGUAGUCCACGCCCUAAACGAUGUCAACUGGUUGUUGGACGGCUUGCUGUUCAGUAACGAGCUAACGCGUGAAGUUGACCGCCUGGGGAUACGGCCGCAAGGUUGAAACUCAAAGGAAUUGACGG